UGCCUAACCAUCUUCAAUUUUGUUUUUUAGAUUUUAUGAUCAAGCUUACUUCUAACCCUUCUCCUGACAUGAUAAUUGAUAUAUACAAUUUAAAUUUAUCUCGGGAUAAACAUAAAUUAUUAUUUUCUUUUAGAUCUAUUUUGAGUACAUUACCUAUACAGAAAAAGUGUUUUUUUUUUUUACCCAUGGCUUUAAUUCCUUAAGCACUCAAGCUUUCUUAAAUUUGCACCUUAACUCAGUCUUUUCGGUAUAAAAUUGCCUUUUUCAGCAACCAGACAAAACUAGUCAGGCAUAGUGUCUUGAAGCAUACACUAGUUCCUCAGGCUAGUGUAACAAUUCCGAUGGAGGCUUGCUGGUUUUGUUUGGACUUAUUGAGACUUUUAAAGGCGCGAUAAGCCCGGAAACUCAAUUAACUCCAAAACAUCCAAGGCUUACUGAGGCUUAUUGAGGCUUUUAAAGGUGCAAUAAACCCAGAAAUUUGUGAAGAGAGUGAUCAAACAGCAUGAUAAGUCCGGAAAACUUGUGAAAGGAUGGAUCAAACCAACAUCAGAAGCUGGAAUUUUCAAUCUUCUAGCCAUGUCAGAAAUUUGGCAACCAAUUUGACAAUCAAGGGUGAGUUGGAAAGUAGUAUCCCAACAACUUAUUUGUCUAAUAAAUGAACCUAGCAUGGUCAUAUAUUCAUAUUUAACUAUUCUUGUACCAAUAUAAUCCUCCAAUGUGUCUUAUUCAUCAAGUGUACCAGAUUUAGUUUACAUGAAAAGAAAUUUACAAGCUUUAGUUA